CUUUAAAAGAGUGGACUCACGUACUAAUCUUUUCUAUUUUUUAGGGGAGGGUUAGUCUCACACAAGCUGCCUUGUUAUAGAGGACAUUGGAAACCACUGGAUUAUAUGAAGAAAUUAAGGACUAGAAUCACUGGUGCAAGAUCACACUGGGGAAAAGUGACAGAACCAAAUUUCAAACUCCAGUCUUUCUGCUUCUAGAGAUUGAACUACUAACAUCUGCAUUAUAUAAAAUUAAGUCUCUCAAGGUAGUUUGUGAAACGUAACAUACAAAUAAGUGAUUAAAAUUUUUGGUGAUA